UUGGAGGGCAAGUCUGGUGCCAGCAGCCGCGGUAAUUCCAGCUCCAAUAGCGUAUAUUAAAGUUGUUGCAGUUAAAAAGCUCGUAGUUGAAUUUCGGGAUCAAUAUGUUGGUCGUGCCCUUGGUACGUACUAGUUUAUUGGUUUCUUCCUUCUGACGAACCAUGAUGUCAUUAAUUUGGUGUCUUGGGGAAUCAGGACUGUUACUUUGAAAAAAUUAGAGUGUUUAAAGCAGGCUCACGCUUGAAUGCAUUAGCAUGGAAUAAUGAAAUAGGACGUUUGAUUCUAUUUUGUUGGUUUCUAGGAUCGACGUAAUGAUUAAUAGGGAUAGUUGGGGGCAUUAGUAUUCAAUUGUCAGAGGUGAAAUUCUUGGAUUUAUUGAAGACUAACUACUGCGAAAGCAUUUGCCAAAGAUGUUUUCAUUAAUCAAGAACGAAAGUUAGGGGAUCGAAGACGAUCAGAUACCGUCGUAGUCUUAACCAUAAGCUAUGCCGACUAGGGAUCGGAUGAUGUUAAUUUUUUAAUGACUCAUUCGGCGCCUUACGGGAAAC
rnacentral:rRNA from 1 species